rnacentral:rRNA from 1 species
CUGAAUAUACCGGUUCUCGUUAGAUCACCGAAGUCAAGCAUCAUUGGGCGCGGUCAGUACUUGGGUGGGUGACCACCUGGGAACACUGCGUGCCGUU